UACGGAGGGGGCGAGCGUUGUCCGAAGUUACUGGGCGUAAAGGGCGCGUAGGCGGGAGCUAAGUCCGCUGUCAAAGCCCGGGGCUUAACCCCGGAAGGUCGGUGGAGACUGGUUUUCUUGAAGCUGCCAGGGGGAGAUGGAAUUACCGGUGUAGCGGUGAAAUGCGUAGAUAUCGGUAGGAACACCAGUGGCGAAGGCGGUCUCCUGGAGCAGACUUGACGCUGAGGCGCGAAAGCUAGGGGAGCAAACAGG
rnacentral:rRNA from 1 species